rnacentral:rRNA from 1 species
AGUGAACGCUGGCGGUAGGCCUAACACAUGCAAGUCGAACGGCAGCACAGUAAGAGCUUGCUCUUACGGGUGGCGAGUGGCGGACGGGUGAGGAAUACAUCGGAAUCUACUUUUUCGUGGGGGAUAACGUAGGGAAACUUACGCUAAUACCGCAUACGACCUACGGGUGAAAGCAUGGGAUAUUCGGACCUUGCGCGAUUGAAUGAGCCGAUGUCGGAUUAGUUAGUUGGCGGGGUAAAGGCCCACCAAGUCGACGAUCCGUAGCUGGUCUGAGAGGAGGAUCGGCCACACUGGAAGUGAGACACGGUCCAGACUCCUACGGGAGGCAGCAGUGGGGAAUAUUGGACAAAGGGCGCAAGCCUUAUCCAGCCAUACCGCGUGGGUUAAGAAGGCCUUCGGGUUGUAAAGCCCUUUUGUUGGUAAAAAAAAGCAGCAGGUUAAUACCCCGCUGUUCUGACGGUACCCAAAGAAUAAGCACCGGCUAACUUCGUG